rnacentral:tRNA from 1 species
GCUUGCAUAGCUCAGUUGGUAGAGUACUGCUUUGGUAAAGCAGAGGUCACGGGUUCAAUUCCCGUUGUAAGCUCCA